UCAGACUGAAGUCAUGGUGUGCCCUUAACUACAGUGGAAGACUCUGAAGGAUUCCACAAAGCCUGUUGAAGCACUUACCUCUUGACUUGAAGAGAAGGUGGAAGUACCCUUCUUGCCUAACUCAGUCAUGUGGGUACACCUAUGCAUGGGAGGCUGGGAAAUGAAGUUUAGCUACGUGCCUAUGAGGAAGAGAAAAUAGGCUUGAAUCGAUGCUCUUUGAGUUGACAUCCACGGACCUUAAUGGAAUAGCAGUUCUCAACCAUGGUGCC